rnacentral:rRNA from 1 species
ACACGACUACAUUAGAUACCCGUGUAGUCCCAGCCCUAAACGAUGCGCGUUAGGUGUAUCGGUGACCACGAGUCACCGAGGUGCCGAAGGGAAACCGUGAAACGUGCCGCCUGGGAAGUACGGUCGCAAGGCUGAACCUAAAGGAAUUGCGGGGGAGCACCACAACGGGUGGAGCCUGCGGUUUAAUCGGACUCAACGCCGGGAAUCUCACCGGAUAAGACAGCUGAAUGAUAGUCGGGAUGAAGACUCUACUUGACUAGCUG